rnacentral:rRNA from 1 species
GACGAACGCUGGCGGCGUGCCUAAUACAUGCAAGUAGAACGCAGUUGCGAACGGGUGAGUAACGCGUAGGUACCUGCCUCAUAGCGGGGGAUAACUAUUGGAAACGAUAGCUAAUACCGCAUCCUGUUAGAUGGACCUGCGUUGUAUUAGCUAGUUGGUGAGGUAAAGGCUCACCAAGGCGACGAUCCAUAGCCGACCUGAGAGGGGGAUCGGGCAACAUGGGGAUGAGACAAGGGCCCGGCUCCUAAGGGAGGGAGGAGUAGGGAAACUUCGGGAAUGGGCGGAAAUCCGAACGAGGAAAGCCGAGUGAGUGGAGAAAGGUUUCGGAUGGUAAAGAUCGUUUGGUAGAGAAGCGGUAACUAAACAGAAAGCGACGGCUAACUACGUGCCAGCAGCCGCGGUAAUAC